ACUGCGGAAGCUUACGUUUUCAUGUACCCACUUUUUUCAGGCGACUGGGCAAAAAAUGAUCAACUGCGCGUGCUCGGCAAGUUCCGCGAUCAAUUAAAGCGAGUCGUCAUCCAAUCAGAUGCAUGCAUCUAGUAACUUGCCGAGCAUGCGCACAAAAAAGUGGGUACACUAGUUACAACUCUGUAUAUGUAUCUACUCUGUGAUG
rnacentral:lncRNA from 1 species